rnacentral:lncRNA from 1 species
GAUCUUAGGGACAAAAUUGGGGUCUUACAGAUGCCCCUAUUUAAGGUCAUUCUAGCCGGAGAAGUGAAGGUUAAAAUCUUAAUCUCGACGCGGUAGAAUGGGCUUAAAUAACAAUAAUGAGACAAAUUUUGGUCCCUAAGAGACCUCAUGAUGCAAAUGUAUGUAUGCAAAAGAAAUUAUCUCUGUGGGGAAUACCGGUCCACAAAGAAAGACGAUCCAUCGGAGUAAUACACUCACCAGGAACAGAGACUCUAACAGGAUUCUCACGGGGAUAAGAAAA